UACGGGGGGUGCGAGCGUUGUCCGGAAUCACUGGGCGUAAAGGGCGCGUAGGUGGUCUUGUAAGUCUGUGGUGAAAGCCCGGGGCUCAACCCCGGGUCUGCCGUGGAUACUGUGAGGCUUGAGUACUGUAGAGGCAGGUAGAAUAUCGGGUGUAGCGGUGGAAUGCGUAGAUAUCAAGAGGAACACCUGCGGCGAAGGCGGGUUGCUGGGCCGACACUGACGCUGAAGUGCGAAAGCUAGGGGAGCGAACGGG
rnacentral:rRNA from 1 species